UUGAUUAUAAAAUCAACAAAAAAAAUCAUAAUUAUAUCACAUUUGCAUAGUUCCCAUUUCUUCUUUUGAUCUUUUGCAUACCCAGCCUAGGUCAUCCAUGGAUGUUCAAGCCGAAAUACAGGCUAUACAGCCUAGCUCAUUCAUUAGGCACUUUUCCUUUGAAUAUGUGCAUCCAACUUCGUUUAUAUUUAAUGGGUUUGAUCUUGCAAGUGUCUGGGAUUAAGGUUGAUCGAUUUAAUGAAAUUUGAAUAUUUGGUGGUUGGGUAGAUCUUGAUCUCGAGAUUCACCGAGAAUCAAAUCUAUACAGAGAUCACUUCAGUAAGCUGUUGGUUUAUCAUUGUUAUUUGAUACAGUAUGAAGUUUAAUCCCAGCUGUUUCAUAUGGUAUUUGUUCCUAUGGCAUUGGUCUUUAUUAACGAAGCGGUGAAGCAGUAUCCACACUCGAUAACUCGUCUAACAAUUCAAAUAUUGAUGCUUAUCAACUAUUAAAGUUAUCUCUGUUCGUCAAACUACAUUUACUUUAUUUUCCCCCAAAAUGCUAAUUAUGAAUUAGUCUUGGUUUUGCUUUUCGUUGGACUGUGUUAGCAAAUGGCUACUUUAUUGCUUAAUAGAAAAAAAAAUACAUUACAGCCAAAGGAAUCGAUCUGGCC
rnacentral:lncRNA from 1 species